CUUCAUGGUUCUGGGAACCAGUUCUGGUCCUGGAGCGUCCUGAGUGACCCGCUGUCUGCUGCCUCCAGGCUCCUGCAGCACGUCCCAUUAAGGGAGAGCAAGCUGACCCACUACCUGCAGGGCUUCUUCUGCAGCAGCAGCAAGGCCUGCAUGGUGGUCAACGUCAGCCAGUGUGCCUCCAUGUACCACGAGACCCUCAACGUCCUCAAGUUGUUGAGCCUUAAGUUUUGAUAUCCAAUUAGAACAUCAGUUCACUCCCAAACAUUUAGCACUGCUGUCUUUGUAAAAUGAACUGAGCAGCAAUCUAAUCACAACGGGGAAACAGCCAUUAUGUUUUUGACUCAGACGAUUCAUCAGCCUACCUUCCCUAAGAUCACCGCUGCAUGACUGAAGAACUUCCCCUGGAGCCGCAGCACCAGAGCGCUCUGAGGUCUCGGUAGAGCCGCUUGAUGUAGUCAGGAUCCAGCAGAGUGAACGCUGGACUUGCUUUGGCUUGAACGCACAUCAGCCUCCAUGAAUACCAGGUCAUCCAUGUUGCUGUUCAUUAACACCGUGCUAACUUUUCCACUGUGGAGGCUCGCCUUGGUACAUUCACAUAGCAGAGCCGUCUGCACCAAGUGACGACCCAAGAUGGUUUAAAAUGUCCUGGUGGAGGUUGUGAUCUCCAGGCUCCUCCCCGUCGUUCCUCCUGCUUCCUGCAGCAGGAAGACGCUGCAGAGCAGCAGCAGCUCCCUGACCGGCUGGGAAGCCAGUCUGGAAGACCUUCAGGGUGAAGACCAAGACUCCAGUCUGAUGGAGGACAGCAUGGAGGAGACGGCUGACAAGGUGAAGAAGUCGUCAUUAAUAAGAGGCUUCACCAGGUCAGUGGUUUUAGCUGCUCCACAUUUCUCCUGACAUGAAUCCACCUGCUGGGUUUCCUGCUGGAGGCGGCGCCACGUUUACCUUCAUUCUGACGUCAGAACCGCAGCUUCGUCCCUCCUCCUCUUCAUCAGCUGCUGCUGCAG